GGAUGCGAUCAUAGCAGCACUAAAGCACCGGAUCCCAUCAGAACUCCGAAGUUGAGCGUGCUUGGGCGAGAGUAGUACUAGGAUGGGUGACCUCCUGGGAAGUCCUCGUGUUGCAUUCC
rnacentral:rRNA from 1 species